ensembl:lncRNA
CUCAGCACUCCCUCCCACCAUCACCGGGGGAGCGGGCGUUCCCGUCCCGAGGGGAGGCCGGAGACCGCAGGGAAGCCAGGAGUCAGCCGGGUUCCCAGACCCCCCCGACGCCACCUUCUCCUGCCCCCAAACACUGACUGCGCCCUCAGUGCUGAGAAGCCCGGGUGGAUAAGCCAACUGUGCUCGUCCUGCUGGGUUCUGAACCCAGCCAGGGCCGCGGAGACGGUUCUAACCUCUCGCCUUUAAGACUCUUCCGACCAAACUGGCUGAGAGGGCGAGGGCGGGAGCUCGGUUCCACACACCUGCACUCCCCAGCCUCGGGGGCAGGAUCGGCUCCCCAGCACCCUUCACCCGCCCCAGAGCGCGCUCCGCGGGCCGCCAGCCCGGGCCGGCCGCCGAGGGAGCCCGCCCUCUACACUUUCUCCCCGGCCCCCUGCCCCGGAGGCCCCUUUCCCCAGGGCCUGCCGCAGCCUAGGAUGACCUUGGUCUCGUCCCUUCCUUCCUUGUAAAGAGGGCCUUGAGGUAUGCCCGGGAGGGCGGUGAUCCUGGCCAGCAGAGUGCCCACUCUCUCCCAGGAUGUGGCCAGCCACUCCCGCACCCUCCACACCCGGCAGGAGAGCGGUGGAUCCUUCAGAGAGAUGACGGAGGCGUAUGUGAGGCUGGACUCGCCUGCAGAGGAUGCCAGCUUGCCUCCUCCACCCCAGGGGCGAGCCAAGUAUUUGAGCGAGUGUGUUUGUGAACCAAAAGGAGGGACAAUCCCAGCAUGAAUUUCUAGCUCUUCAUCAAGACAGCACAGUGGCCCAGGAUGCUGGGACCCUCCUAAUGUUGCCUGUGGCCCACCCUAACCACCAAACAUUCGCCAGCCCCGUGAAACUGCAAACUUUCCAACUUCACCCCUUCGCCUUUCUCCUCUUUGGGAACAGCUAUAUAUGGGGCGGUGCCCUCAGAGACACUCAUACAUUGGUUCUUGAUGCUCUGCAUACACUCGAACAACAACGUCCAGGAGAUGGAGGAUUCCAGAGGUGUGGAGGGACGUUUAGGGUCGCACUCUCUGGAAGCCAUCAUGGAUUGUUUCUCAAGCAGCCCUUUCUUCCUAGGGAGUGGAAGUCUCCCCUCCACUUGGCAUUAGAGGAACCCGAAGGAGGUCCUGGUAAGGAACACAGUACUAACAAGCCACCACCAACCGGAAGAGUUCAGGAAAGGUCAUAAGGAGAUGCAACGUGUCCUACCACCUCCUAGAAUCCUCCUUGCUGGCAGCCAUCUUGACUGAGCAAUGCAUGCACCACCAGGAAGGACCCUGAGUCAGAAUGAUUGGCCAAGGGCAACCCGGAAACUAAUCCCAUCACCAUGAAACUGUGAACCGCAUGGCAGAGCAGUGCUCCUGGG